UCUCCUAAAUGUUGACUCGAGGACAUCUAACUCGCAUACUUUAAAAAAAAAAAUUAUACACAAGCAUUUUGUAUCCAAUGCCUCUUCUAUUUUUUUUUUUGUUAAAUAACUAUUUGUGGCUUUUCAGCCAUUUUACUAAUAAUCAGCUAAACAAAAUCAAGAGAUCCGCCCAACCGCCCAUAAAGAAAAAAUACGAAAAAAUGUUGUGCAAGCCCAUUUUUUAAAUUCUGACCCAAGUAUAAAAAUGAAAAGGGAACCCUCUUUCCUUUCCAAUCCUUCUUUUUUCUUUUUUUAUUUUCUUUCUUCCACUGUUCCACCUUCUUAUCAUUCAUGUUGACGUUGCAAUCAAUGGAUUUAGAGUUAUUGGAUGUUGUAGCCAGAAAUCGAGAAGGAUUUUUGUUCACAAAUUCCAUGGAGAACUACUUCGGAGAAAUUUGAAACGGAAAGGAAAUAUACGGAAAGCUACGUUGAUCGGAAGAGGAGAAGUGUCGGAAAAUGGAUAACUCCAGUAGUGCGAAAUUACUACGAAAUGACAGCGAUGUCCUUUAGAUUGGGGUUUUGUGGUAAUGAAAUUGUGGUGAAAUGACACUAAUACCCUUUAGUAAGCUGGCAGAACAACGGGGUUCUGCCUGCUUCAAGGCACUUAUCAUGAUUGUUGGUUGCUUGUUUUUCUUCAAUUUGUCCAUCUGGGGUUCCUUUUUUUUGCUUGAAUUUUGCUUGUAGCAAUAUUUUGAUGACUGUUUUUGUUGAAUCUUGAUUGUUGUGGGCUUGGUUUUCCU